GAUGAACGCUGGCGGCGUGCCUAAUACAUGCAAGUCGAGCGAACAGAUGAGGAGCUUGCUCCUCUGACGUUAGCGGCGGACGGGUGAGUAACACGUGGAUAACCUACCUAUAAGACUGGGAUAACUUCGGGAACCCGGAGCUAAUACCGGAUAAUAUAUUGAACCGCAUGGUUCAAUAGUGAAAGACGGUUUUGCUGUUACUUAUAUAUGUAUCCGCGCCGCAUUAGCUAGUUGGUAAGGUAACGGCUUACCAAGGCGACGAUGCGUAGCCGACCUGAGAGGGUGAUCGGCCACACUGGAACUGAGACACCGUCCAGACUCCUACGGGAGGCAGCAGUAGGGAAUCUUCCGCAAUGGGCGAAAGCCUGACGGAGCAACGCCGCGUGAGUGAUGAAGGUAUUCGGAUCGUAAAACUCUGUUAUUAGGGAAGAACAAAUGUGUAAGUAACAAUGCACGUCUUGACGGUACCUAAUCAGAAAGCAACGGCUAACUACGUG
rnacentral:rRNA from 1 species